AUUGAACGCUGGCGGAAUGCUUUACACAUGCAAGUCGAACGGCCGCACGGACGUCGGUCUGGUGGCGAGUGGCGAACGGGUGAGUAAUACAUUUGAUCGUGCCCAGUCGUGGGGGAUCACGUAGCGAAAGCUACGCUACUACCGCAUACGAACUAAGGAUGAAAGCGGGGGAUCGCGAGACCUCGCGCGUUUGGAGCGGCCGAUGGCAGGUUGGGUAGUUGGUAGGGUAAAGGCCUACCAAGCUGACGAUCUGUCGAUGGGCAGAGCGGGUGAUCAGCGACACAGGGAGUGAGACACGGCCCAGACUGCUACGGGGGGCACAGGUGGGGAAUGUUGGACAAUAAGCGCAAGCCUGAUGCAGCCAUUCCGCGGGCAGGAUGAAGGCUUGCGGGUUUUAAACUGCUUUUGUAAAGAACGAAAAGGCUUUGGUUAAUACCCGGGGCUCAUGACGGUACUGUAAGAAUAAGCACCGGCUAACUACGUGCCAGCCGCCGCAGUAA
rnacentral:rRNA from 1 species